CGACCUACGGCGCUUGUGAGCGAUCCUGCCGCGCGAAGGUGCGACUGGGCAGCCCGCGCCCGGCGGACCUCUUAUCCACGGCCACGCCUGUGCGGGUGGCGACGUAACAGAGGCCCGACCGCCGACGUAGCCCGUUCAUUCAUUCGUUCGUUUCUUCAUUCCACGUUCCUGCCUUGCGCGCGGCGGGGGCUGGAGCUGCAGGGGACCGCUAUGGUCUCCGCGCGCUCCUUCCUCAAAGGGAGGAGAAGAGCAAAACUCAGUAGCAAAGCUCCCAACGGAACUAAGACUCCAGUGGAGAAGAGAGACAAACAAACAAUUAAUUACAAUCCAACGUGUUAAGGGCUAUAAUAGAAAUUCUUCCAAGACACUGUUUGAGUGCGGAGAGUCAUUAAUUGCUUGAGAAAUCAGAGAAGGCUUCCCAGAGAAAUGGAGUCCUAAAGGAUGAGAUCCACUGGACCUGUCUACCCUGCUCUCCGCCCAAGAAGUUGACCUGAAUGGACUACACUGCACGGAGGCUUCCUUGCCCUCUGUUUUCUGUUUGGUUUGGGCCCUGAGGAGCCCCUGCAGGAGGCGGUGGAGGGGAAGGAUGCGGAGGUCAAAUAAUUAUUACCCUGAGUUGCUCCUGGCAACCUCAGGCUGGCUCUGCCCUUCUACAGAUUACUGCUCCCCUCAAAGUAGCCAACUACAGGAUUCUCUCUUUCUGGGGUGCAGCACCUGCUCCUCCUCUCUUUGUCCCUUAUGGCCUGGAAGGAACAGCCAGUGUUACU